rnacentral:rRNA from 1 species
UCACCAAGGCUUACGGGUAGUUGGUCUGAGAGGAUGAUCAGCAACACUGGGACUGAGACACUGCCCAGACUCCUACGGGAGGCUGCAGUCGAGAAUCAUUGACAAUGCACGAAAGUGUGAUCAUGCGACGCCGCGUGGAGGAAGACGGCCUUUGGGUUGUAAACUCCUGUCAGCAGGGAGGAAGGAUGGAUCUCUUAAUACGAGGUUCAUUUGACAGUACCUGCAGAGGAAGUCACGGCUAACUCUGUGCCAGCAGCCGCGGUAAUACAGAGGUGGCGAACGUUGUUCGGAUUUACUGGGCGUAAAGGGUCCGCAGGCGGUUCGGUGUGUCAGAUGUGAAAGCCCACGGCUCAACCGUGGAAUUGCAUUUGAAACUGCCGGGCUAGAGUACUGGAGGGGAGAAGGGAACACUUGGUGUAGCGGUGAAAUGCGUAGAUAUCAAGUGGAACACCGGUGGCGAAGGCGCUUCUCUGGACAGAUACUGACGCUCAUGGACGAAAGUUAGGGUAGCGAAAGGGAUUAGAUACCCCUGUAGUCCUAACCGUAAACGGUGUGCACUAGACAUGGGAGGCUUUACCCCCUUCCGUUUCUGAGCUAACGCAUUAAGUGCACCGCCUGGGGAGUACGGUCGCAAGAUUAAAACUCAAAGGAAUUGACGGGGACCCGCACAAGCGGUGGAGCAUGUGGCUUAAUUCGAUGCAACGCGAAGAACCUUACCUGGGCUUGACGUAUAGCUGCAUACGACCCGAAAGGGACGUAGCCUUCGAGGGUGCUAUACAGGUGCUGCAUGGCUGUCGUCAGCUCGUGCCGUGAGGUGUUGGGUUAAGUCCCGCAACGAGCGCAACCCCUGUGUUUAGUUGCCAGCACGUAAUGGUGGGAACUCUAAACAGACUGCUGGUGAAAACCAGAGGAAGGUGGGGAUGACGUCAAGUCAGUAUGGUCCUUAUGCCCAGGGCUGCACACGUGCUACAAUGGGUGAUACAAUGGGAGGCUAAGCCGCGAGGUGGAGCAAAUCCUCAAAAUCACCCCCAGUUCGGAUUGGAGUCUGAAACUCGACUCCAUGAAGUUGGAAUCGCUAGUAAAGGCGUAUCAGCUACGACGCCUUGAAUACGUUCCCGGGUCUUGUACACACCGCCCGUCACAUCAUGGAAGUCUGUUGCACCCGAAGUUGUUGAUCCAACCUUUUAUUAGGAGGAAGGCACCUAAGGUGUGAUAGGUAACUGGGAUGAAGUCGUAACAAGGUA